UACGUAGGGGGCAAGCGUUGUCCGGAUUUAUUGGGCGUAAAGAGCGUGUAGGCGGUUUGGUAAGCCGGGUGUGAAACCCUCGAGCUCAACUCGGGGCGGCCACUCGGAACUGUCAUGACUUGAGUCAGGUAGGGGAACACGGAAUUCCAGGUGUAGCGGUGAAAUGCUUAGAUAUCUGGAGGAACACCAGUGGCGAAGGCGGUGUUCUGGGCCUGUACUGACGCUGAUGCGCGAAAGCGUGGGGAGCGAACAGG
rnacentral:rRNA from 1 species